CUUCAUGAGAGUCAGCACUGAAGACCUACAGAUACAGCAAGGAGAAAGAUACGCACAAACCAAGAAGAGCGCUCUCACCAGACACGGAAUCUGCUACCACCUUGAUCUCAGAUUUCCCAGCCUCCAGAAUGGAACUUGGGGAAGUUUAGUAAAUCCCCCAACAUCCCCACACUGAGGAAUACCUGGCUGAAACGCUAAUCCAGUCUGUCUGGCCUGAAGCCCACAUGUUGUCUAUGGUGCUGUUUAGAGAGAAGAGCAAGACAGGUCAGCUCUUACAGGUUAGCUCGAUGUCUCAGGAGAGUCAGCGUGGUCACUCUGCAGCGUGGCUUCAAGAGCCCGAUGUCAUCACGAGGCUGAGAGUGCAACUCACCCAUCUCACCAGCUCUCAGCCUGUCCCAACGUAAGUCUCCAAGAUGUCACACGGCAUAAAGACAGCUGGCUAUUCUGAUGGCAGUUUUCUAAAGACAUUCACUGACACUGUUUUAGCAAAACCCAUGAGUACCUUGAGAUGAAUACAUUAUGAAGACGACUGUCAUCACGGCCACAUGUGGUAUUAUUUACUCACGUCAGUUUGAAUGAUUAAUGUGACAAAGUGGCUGAGCAGCUAGUAAGAUGGAGGGCCGUGUAGGACAAUUUCUAUGUGAUUUCAAACAAUGCCCGCAGUGUCUACAGCAAGUCGAAGAGACAUGAAUCGCUGGUGCCACGGCCCCCACCUUCCACUGGCUCCCAUUCUCCACUGUGUCCUUCCCCUACACUCCCCACCCCCAGAGACUCCAAAUUUUCCAACUGCAGCCAAGGAGGAGAAAAUGGAGACACUUCAUUUCAGCAGCCUGGGGUUGUGAGCGGUGGCAGCUCUCCGGCUGACGUCACUGGUGACUCCUUAGAUGGCCAGGGGACAGAGAGCCUCGUGGGGCCUUGCAGGAAAGUCCGGGACUGCCGGCUGGUCUUUGCCCCCUUAAACGAGUGACUACUUAGACAAUGUUAAAAACUGAAUAAUGGUGUUGAUGUA
ensembl:lncRNA